CCUACGGGAGGCAGCAGUGAGGAAUAUUGGUCAAUGGACGAGAGUCUGAACCAGCCAAGUAGCGUGAAGGAUGACUGCCCUAUGGGUUGUAAACUUCUUUUAUAUGGGAAUAAAAUGUUCCACGUGUGGGAUUUUGUAUGUACCAUAUGAAUAAGGAUCGGCUAACUCCGUGCCAGCAGCCGCGGUAAUACGGAGGAUCCGAGCGUUAUCCGGAUUUAUUGGGUUUAAAGGGAGCGUAGGUGGAUUGUUAAGUCAGUUGUGAAAGUUUGCGGCUCAACCGUAAAAUUGCAGUUGAAACUGGCAGUCUUGAGUACAGUAGAGGUGGGCGGAAUUCGUGGUGUAGCGGUGAAAUGCUUAGAUAUCACGAAGAACUCCGAUUGCGAAGGCAGUUCACUGGACUGCAACUGACACUGAGGCUCGAAAGUGUGGGUAUCAAACAGGAUUAGAUACCCCUGUAGUU
rnacentral:rRNA from 1 species